UACGAGGGGGCAAGCGUUGUUCGGAAUUAUUGGGCGUAAAGGGCUCGUAGGCGGUUCGUCACGUCGGGAGUGAAAACUCGGGGCUCAACCCCGAGCCUGCUUCCGAUACGGGCAGACUAGAGGUAUGCAGGGGGAGAAUGGAAUUCCUGGUGUAGCGGUGAAAUGCGCAGAUAUCAGGAGGAACACCGGUGGCGAAGGCGGUUCUCUGGGCAUUACCUGACGCUGAGGAGCGAAAGUGUGGGGAGCGAACAGGG
rnacentral:rRNA from 1 species